rnacentral:misc_RNA from 1 species
UCCUCGUUGACCGAGGCAGUCUCGUGUGAAAAAUACAACACACGACAAGGGUUGCGCUCGUUGCGGGACUUAACCCAACAUUUCACAACACGAGCUGACGACGACCAUGCAUCACCUGUCACCGGGCUCCAAAAGGCACAGCCGCCUUUCGGCGGCCUUCCCGGGAUGUCAAGCCCUGGUAAGGUUCUUCGCUUAGCUUCGAAUUAAACCACACGCUCCACCGCUUGUGCGGGUCCCCGUCAAUUCCUUUAUGUUUUAGCCUUGCGGCCGUACUCCACAGGCGGGGUACUUAACGCGUUAGCUUCGAUACCCAGGGGGUCUAUUCCCCGAAUACCUAGUACCCAUCGUUUACGGCGUGGACUAC